rnacentral:lncRNA from 1 species
CCCGCCGGCCAAGAAAGCCCCUCAUCCUUGCUCUUUUGUCGGAGAUACAGAAGCCAGGGGAAUUCUCAGGGAGACAGGGCUCCAGGCUCCCGGAGGGUGCAGCGGCCACCCAGGUGAGGGUGCCGACUCUGGCAGACCCUCAGGGCUCCCAUCCAGUCUCCAGCAAGCGCUUUUGUUUCCCAACCCUGCCCUGGGGGAAAGACGACCUUACCCUCGCCUUGGACCCUGAAGAGCUCAGUGCACGCCCUGUCUGGGCUGGAGCCCAUCUCGCUCUGAGCAGAGUUCGCUGAGGCUAGGGGUAGGAGCAAUGACUCCAGGAUCUGCCUCCGAGCCCUGCUAGAAGACUGAGAGUAUCUGGACCCGUGCCACCAGGCACGCAAGAGCCGCUCUAAUGUCUGUAAUGUUAAUAAUGGUACAGUCACUGAACGGCUGGGGAACUGGGAGCGAAAUUCCACCCCCAUUGCUACCCACGUCUUUGAUGGUUAAAGAAACAGAUAUCUAGUCCGGUGUGUGGAAAUAGGUGUAGGGAGAGGAGGGAUACAAGGUUCCAAGAGGCCAGCACGGAGGGCCCAGUUUUGGAAUCCACAGAAUCCGGAAUAAGGCUUUUUGAGCAGGCAGGGUGCCAGUCCUAGAUAGACCCAGGGCAGAGAGCUGGAGCUCCGGACAGCAUUUUGUGGAUUGAUCUCUACCUUCCACCUUGCCGCCCUGGACGGUCUCAGGGUUGGGUGAGUUGAAAGCCCGGUGAUCCCAGCGCUCGCUUCCCGGGUUCUGGCCAAAGCCUUGGUCCCAGGUCUGGUUUGUGCGCGCCCCCUGCUGGAAAUUGCCAGCCGGCCUCCGAGGCCCUGGGACAAUGGUUGGGGAAUACUGGGGCUCAAGCCUGGGAUCAAGGCAUGUGCUGCACCCGGGACCCCAUGUUUCAAAGUGGGAGACGCUAAACCAAGGCACCGAAGCUUUCCUUCCCAUGCACACCCAGUGUACAUCCCAGGAGUCUGCAACAUUCCUCCCCUAACCCCACCCCACCUCACACCCCAUUGUGUUUCUCAUGCCCAGGAUAUAAUAGGCACCCUCUGUAUACUCAUUGAUCGAAUAGUCCCUGGCACGAACUAAUGAGUUUAAUUCUGGGACAAAACCGUCCUGUAUUCCCCAACCUACCCCCCCCAAUCCCAUCCCUUGGUGCCCAGAGCACUUUCUCUUUGAGUUAAGAAAGUUAAGUCUUCUAACUUUCCCAGGGACCUAUAAAAAGUCCAAGGUCUGAAAAAGAAAAUCUUUUCCAGGCUCUAAAAGGGGAAUAGAAAACUACAAAGUUGGAAGGAAUAGAUGUUUGAUUAAAUGUUUAGGAUAUAUCACAUUGUACAUUCGACUGAGUGCAACUGCAUUCAGAGGUGGCCAUGUCCUUGUAUCUAAUAUGACAGGUGCGUGAUUUAAUAAAUGAAGGGAGGGUCUCCGAGAGUAAGAAAGCCAGAGCCCAGAAGGGCAUCACGCAUCCCCAGCUUAGCAGUCUGCUCAGGCAAACCUCCCCUCCAGCCAGAAUUUCCUAAAUGCAGAGCUUCCAACCUUUUGGCUUCUGUAGUCCCUGUUUAUAAACCACUGCCCCCCCAUCCCUCCUUCACCUCAUACAUACUCUACAUAGUGGUUAGGAGCGAACAUUCUAGCAUCAGACUCCACCAUUGCCUCUCCUUAGGUCUGAUUGACACACACUGGCUCAGGACUCCCCCCCUUUGUACUCACUGUAUGACCUUGGCCAAAUUACCUAACCCCUCUGUGUGGGGGGUGGGAGGGUUAUAUAAAUAAGAAUACCUAUUUUAUUGGGUUGUUGUGAAGGUUAAAUGAGUUAAUGCAUGCAAAGCACCUAGUACCUGGCACUUAGGUAGUGCUGAAAGAUAGCCAGGAUUAGCCAUGGUCAUUACCUCGCAGCAUCGGGGACAGGUAUGAUGAGAUGUUCUGUUGCACACACCCCUACAUGCUUGUGUCCUGCCUCCCCAAUGGAAGGGAAAGACUUUGGCCCUUCCCCCCUCACUCUUCACUCCUCCUGCAUCCCCACACCAUGGCACAGGUAAAAAUCAGAAUGACUCAUUACUUGUAAAGAUUUCUAGUCUAACAUACCUAAACCCAGAUUCUGAUGUUUGCAGCCAUCACUAGUGCACCUCUUUGCGAAGAGAGACCUGCAGCUGCAGGCUUGGAGGAAGGUUUUUAAUUAAAACCACAAUCUGUUUAAGUAUUUAUUGGGUUCUGUGACUUUAAUUAUUUUCUAGGGAAAAACAGAAAAAUCCACAUUUGCAUAUGGGAAGACUCGAUUUCAGAGGAAAGUAGCAACCUGUGGCAGUUUGCUGGAGGCAGCUGGGAGGAAUUUCGUGAAUGGUUCAAAUGAAGCUUGACUUUAUUAAUAAGCUGGGAUCCAGUCCACGACCUUCCUCCCAGUGCUUUCAUGAAAUUAGCUUAACUUGCUGCCAAGGCGCUUUAUUGCCAUCAAAAUUAACAACAGCUCUUCCAGUGGCAUCUCAUGUAAUUAUCUGGGUCUGUGCUUGUCUUACUAAAGAUGGGAAACUUUCCUGGAAGAGGCAAUGCUCCUGCCCGGGAGGAGCAGCAUGCUUAGCUAUCCUGCCCAGCUUGGGCAGGACUGGUUCUCCCAGAGGGGGAGUCCUGGGAAGCCAGCCCCUCCAUGGCAGGGGGAAGCCCAGGAAGGAAAGGCAGGGAAUCAUUUAUGAUGCUUCCAUCUGCAGAUAACAAAAUUCCCAACUCAAAGCAUUUUAAACUGUUAUGUGCAUCAUCCCACAAGCGGGAAGCAGGGCUGGCUUCAGGGCUGAUUGAUUCAGUAGCUCAGUGACAUUGGUGCACUCGAGUUCUUUCUGUCUCUCUCCUCUUCCAUCCUUAAUGGGGCUUUGUCUUGAGACUCAGUGGCCAUCCGUGUCAUUGGAGGGCUUCAGCAGCAGCUGGGGUAACAUGCUUCUCUGUAGCAGACUAGUGGGACAGGGAGACUGGAUUCUCUUUCCAGAAGCCAUUGCCUCUCCUUAGGUCUGAUUGACACACACUGGCUCAGGACUCCCCCCCUUUGAGCCAAUCCCUGGCAAAGAGGAUAGAAUUGAUUGGCUUAGAGUAAUCGUCUAGCUCUGAAAUGGAUGUUGAGGAGUCAAUCCCAAGAUUCACUACAAGCAAGAAAUCCCCUUCAAAUAGAAGUUGGGGGGAGUUCUUGUUGUGGCUCAGCGGUUAACGACCCGGACUAAGAUCAAUGAGGAUGCAGGUUCAAUCCCUGGACUUGCUCAGUGGGUCAAGGAUCUGGUGUGGCCAUGAGCUGUGGUUAGGUCGCAGACUCGGCUCGGAUCUGUCAUUGCUGUGGCUGUUGGGUAGGCCAGCAGCUGUAGCUCUGAUUCGACCCCUAGCCUGGGAACUUCUAUAUGCC